rfam:Oryctolagus cuniculus cont2.35949, whole genome shotgun sequence.
CACCGUUUCAGUGGCAUUUAAGUCCCCGGCGCUCCUCCGUCUAGGUGACGCGCAGUCGCCCCCCCAGGCAGCUCAGGAGGCGGCAGAAGCUGCGGCGGCUGCAACUGCAGCUUCACAGCCCUGGG